UCAGCUUUGGCGCAGUAGGUAGCUCAUUCAGCUUCAAGCUGAAGGUCCCGAGUUCGAUCCUUGGAAGGAGGG
rnacentral:tRNA from 1 species